GUGGGGAAUCUUCCGCAAUGGACGAAAGUCUGACGGAGCGACGCCGCGUGAGUGAAGAAGGACUUCGGGUCGUAAAGCUCUGUCAUCAGGGACGAACGGCCGGUGGAGUGGAAAGCCACCGGAUUGACGGUACCUGAGAAGGAAGCCACGGCUAACUACGUGCCAGCAGCCGCGGUAAUACGUAGGUGGCAAGCGUUGUCCGGAAUUAUUGGGCGUAAAGCGCGCGCAGGUGGGAUCUUAAGUCCAUUUUUAAAGUUCGGAGCUCGACUCCGUGAUGGGAUGGAAACUGGGAUUCUUGAGUACCGGAGAGGAAAGCGGAAUUCCCCGUGUAGCGGUGAAAUGCGUAGAUAUGGGGAGGAACACCAGUGGCGAAGGCGGCUUUCUGGACGGUGUCUGACACUGAGGCGCGAAAGCCAGGGGAGCGAACGGGAUUAGAAACCCGAGUAGUCC
rnacentral:rRNA from 1 species